CUCGAGGCUAGGGUUUUUGUCAAAUUAUAGUUUUGCCCUUUACAAAUAUCAUAAUUCCAAUUUAUGUCCAUUAUUAUAAAUUUCGUACCCUUUUCGAUAAGCAGGCUAUUAUAAGGCCCAUUAGGCAUGGGGAUCGGAAACCCCACCCGGUUAUAAAACCCUAAAGGAUCGACCUCGUUCGCAGCCGCAGUUAGGUUGUGAUCGGGGAUCGCAUCGUGGGCCUCUGCGGCUGGUUUGGUUUCCCAUUAAUCUUCGAUGGUUUGGAUCUUGAUCUUUGGAUUCUGGCAUUCUUUUCUGUUCCCUGGAAGGAUCUGGUUUUGGAUAGAAAAAUGGUAGUCGGGGCCCUCGUAGUCGUUAUUUAGCCUUCUGUGUUCUUCUUUUUGCCAAUUCCUGCUUGUGAUACUGACAAGCUUCGACGAUCGUCAAAAGCAGAGAGUAGAAGAAAAUAGAAGGGGAGGGGCACGGUUUCUCCCGAUCUUAUGUUCUUACCUUGGGUGUUAAGCUAGCUUUUUUAUUUGUGCAUUUAGUUUUUCUUAGUGAUUUUAGAUUUUCUUUUGCGGGUUCUUUUGGAGAAAAUAAGGAUAUUAUUUUGAUUUCUUUUCUUGUUGUUUUCAGGUUUUGGAGAAAAUAAGGAUAUUAUAUUAGGCAAUCUUGAAAGGUUUGGCAGACAAUCUAAAUGUGCUAAUUUCGAUGGCUUAGAUUGAAAAGCCAAUUGGUAACCUAAGUAACAAUGUUUUCGGAAUUAGCAUGAAGACGAAAGCAUCAUCGAAUCAAAACAAGAUUAAAGAGAAGGAAAAAUCAAAGUAUAAUCAAAUGAGGAAGGGCCCGAAACUGAUCCAAAUAAGAAAGGCAGCAGCGGCAGACGGCUUUUUAUGGCUCGAGGAAGCGCAUAUGGUGUAGAGGGAAGGGAACCCAACGAUCGAGUGAUGCGUGUAGUAGGGUUUCCAUCUCGCUCUCAGAAAUGGAUCGGGUGUCUGUGUUGGGUUUCCAUUUAGCUCUUAGAAAUGGAUCGGAUGCACGUGCCAUUUCGAGGCUCUCGGCCUCGACAACCACCACUGAUCUUUCUUUAAAUAUUAAAGUCUCCCUUCGCUAAUAAAUUGUUCGUUUGUCUCCUCUUA